UAUAAUUCAGAGUCAUAUCAUU
rnacentral:snRNA from 1 species